UACGUAGGGUGCGAGCGUUGUCCGGAAUUAUUGGGCGUAAAGAGCUUGUAGGCGGUUUGUCGCGUCUGCCUGUGGAAAAUCCGGGGCUCAACUCCGGAUCUGCGGUGGGUACGGCAGACUAGAGUGAUGUAGGGAGACUGGAAAUUCCUGGUGUAGCGGUGAAAUGGCGCAGAUAUCAGGAGGAACACCGUAGUGGCGAAGGCAGCUCUCUGGACGGUACUGGA
rnacentral:rRNA from 1 species